GACGGAGGAUGCAAGUGUUAUCCGGAAUCACUGGGCGUAAAGCGUCUGUAGGUGGUCAAAUAAGUCAACUGUUAAAUCUUGAGGCUCAACCUCAAAAUCGCAGUCGAAACUAUUAGACUAGAGUAUAGUAGGGGUAAAGGGAAUUUCCAGUGGAGCGGUGAAAUGCGUAGAGAUUGGAGAGAACACCGAUGGCGAAGGCACUUUACUGGGCUAUUACUAACACUCAGAGACGAAAGCUAGGGUAGCAAAUGGG
rnacentral:rRNA from 1 species